rnacentral:sRNA from 1 species
CCAGCUUCUUUGUGGAGAAUGCCAGCAUCGCCUGUGCACUGAAGAAUGUCAGUGGCAAGAUUUGGGAUGAGAAUAAUGAAAAGAUAUCAAUCUUUGUCAACCCUGCUGGUAUACCCCACUUUGUGCAGAGGGAGCUAAAGUCAGAAAAGGUGGAGCAGAUAAAGCUGGCCGUGAACCAACCGUGUGAUGUCUCCCAGGAAGCUCUUGAUAUCCAGAGACUCCCAUUUUACCCAGACAUGAUGAACCAUGAUACUACAAUGGCAUCGAAUCCUAGAAAGUGCAUGGCUGCCUCCCUGCACGUCCAUGAAGAGAACAUACCUACGGUGAUGUCUGCAGGGGAGAUGGACAAGUGGAAAGGGAUAGAGCCAGGAGAGAAGUGUGCGGACAGAAGCCCAGUGUGCACAACCUUAUCGGAUAACUCCAGCAACAUAAAGUCAGUUGUACCCUCUGUCACCACCUGGGACCCUGACCUGUGUUUGAUAGUGCCCUUCUGCAGUAGAAGGCAGCACUGGUCUUCUGGGAGGACCACAGACCCUCUCCUUCCCCCUCGCCCCACUCCUCUCUCUGUGUCACUCAUUCGUCUGUGCUUAGA